rnacentral:miRNA from 1 species
GGAUGCGGGGCUGGGAGGUGAGGAGGCUGAGAUAGCUUCUUCUGUUCUCUUUCCCCAG